rnacentral:tRNA from 1 species
GCCGGGAUGAUGGAAUGGUAGACAUAGGGGACUUAAAAUUCCUGGACCCUAAUACGGUCGUGCGGGUUCGAGUCCCGCUCCCGGCA